rnacentral:rRNA from 1 species
UACGGGGGGGGCAAGCGUUGUUCGGAAUUACUGGGCGUAAAGGGCUCGUAGGCGGCUUGCUAAGUCAGACGUGAAAGCCCUCGGCUCAACCGGGGAACGGCGUCUGAGACUGGCAAGCUGGAAUCCGGGAGAGGGAUGCGGAAUUCCAGGUGUAGCGGUGAAAUGCGUAGAUAUCUGGAGGAACACCGGUGGCGAAGGCGGCAUCCUGGACCGGCAUUGACGCUGAGGAGCGAAAGCCAGGGGAGCAAACGGG